AGGAUGUUGGCUUAGAAGCAGCCAUCAUUUAAAGAGUGCGUAAUAGCUCACUAGUCGAGUGACACUGCGCCGAAAAUGUACCGGGGCUAAACAUAUUACCGAAGUUGUGGAUUGUCCUUUGGACAAUGGUAGGAGAGCGUUCUAAGGGCGUUGAAGCAUGAUCGUAAGGACAUGUGGAGCGCUUAGAAGUGAGAAUGCCGGUGUGAGUAGCGAAAGACGGGUGAGAAUCCCGUCCACCGAUUGACUAAGGUUUCCAGAGGAAGGCUCGUCCGCUCUGGGUUAGUCGGGUCCUAAGCUGAGGCCGACAGGCGUAGGCGAUGGAUAACAGGUUGAUAUUCCUGUACCACCUAUAAUCGUUUUAAUCGAUGGGGGGACGCAGUAGGAUAGGCGAAGCGUGCGAUUGGAUUGCACGUCUAAGCAGUAAGGCUGAGUAUUAGGCAAAUCCGGUACUCGUUGAGGCUGAGCUGUGAUGGGGAGAAGACAUUGUGUCUUCGAGUCGUUGAUUUCACACUGCCGAGAAAAGCCUCUAGAUAGAAAAUAGGUGCCCGUACCGCAAACCGACACAGGUAGUCAAGAUGAGAAUUCUAAGGUGAGCGAGCGAACUCUCGUUAAGGAACUCGGCAAAAUGACCCCGUAACUUCGGGAGAAGGGGUGCUCUUUAGGGUUAACGCCCAGAAGAGCCGCAGUGAAUAGGCCCAAGCGACUGUUUAUCAAAAACACAGGUCUCUGCUAAACCGUAAGGUGAUGUAUAGGGGCUGACGCCUGCCCGGUGCUGGAAGGUUAAGAGGAGUGGUUAGCUUCUGCGAAGCUACGAAUCGAAGCCCCAGUAAACGGCGGCCGUAACUAUAACGGUCCUAAGGUAGCGAAAUUCCUUGUCGGGUAAGUUCCGACCCGCACGAAAGGCGUAACGAUUUGGGCACUGUCUCAACGAGAGACUCGGUGAAAUCAUAGUACCUGUGAAGAUGCAGGUUACCCGCGACAGGACGGAAAGACCCCGUGGAGCUUUACUGUAGCCUGAUAUUGAAAUUCGGCACAGCUUGUACAGGAUAGGUAGGAGCCUUUGAAACGUGAGCGCUAGCUUACGUGGAGGCGCUGGUGGGAUACUACCCUAGCUGUGUUGGCUUUCUAACCCGCACCACUUAUCGUGGUGGGAGACAGUGUCAGGCGGGCAGUUUGACUGGGGCGGUCGCCUCCUAAAAGGUAACGGAGGCGCUCAAAGGUUCCCUCAGAAUGGUUGGAAAUCAUUCAUAGAGUGUAAAGGCAUAAGGGAGCUUGACUGCGAGACCUACAAGUCGAGCAGGGUCGAAAGACGGACUUAGUGAUCCGGUGGUUCCGCAUGGAAGGGCCAUCGCUCAACGGAUAAAAGCUACCCCGGGGAUAACAGGCUUAUCUCCCCCAAGAGUUCACAUCGACGGGGAGGUUUGGCACCUCGAUGUCGGCUCAUCGCAUCCUGGGGCUGUAGUCGGUCCCAAGGGUUGGGCUGUUCGCCCAUUAAAGCGGUACGCGAGCUGGGUUCAGAACGUCGUGAGACAGUUCGGUCCCUAUCCGUCGUGGGCGUAGGAAAUUUGAGAGGAGCUGUCCUUAGUACGAGAGGACCGGGAUGGACAUACCUCUGGUGUACCAGUUGUCGUGCCAACGGCAUAGCUGGGUAGCUAUGUGUGGACGGGAUAAGUGCUGAAAGCAUCUAAGCAUGAAGCCCCCCUCAAGAUGAGAUUUCCCAACUUCGGUUAUAAGAUCCCUCAAAGAUGAUGAGGUUAAUAGGUUCGAGGUGGAAGCAUGGUGACAUGUGGAGCUGACGAAUACUAAUCGAUCGAAGACUUAAUCAA
rnacentral:rRNA from 1 species